rnacentral:lncRNA from 1 species
AGAAACCACAUUUUAGACUAAAAUUUGGACUAGAAGGAUUCCUCUACAAUGUCUAAAUAGCAGUUACAAUUUUUAUUUUGCUCAAUUGAGAAGAAUUAUAAACUAGAAUCAAAAUGUAGUGGUGCUUUCUUUUUUUUUUUUUUCCUGAGACAGAGCUCCACUCUGUCACCCACGCUGGAAUGCAACGGUUGCAGUGAGCCAAGAUUGUAUCACUGCACUCCAGCCUGGGCGACAGAGCAAGGCUCUGUCUCCAAAAUAAAUAAAUAAAUAAAUAAAAUUUAAAAAAAAUUCCUGUAGAGCCAGAGUCAUUGGGUUCUCCCUCAAUUAAUAUCUGAGGUGCCCAGAAACUGCAAUGCCCAGGCAAUAAGCCAUCAAAGCCCCAGUCAAGCAGAAACAUAGUCCCACUGAAGUUAGUGGCCUAAAUUCUUCAAGUCAGAUGCAGUAAUCCCAGAAUUAAGUUUCAUCAAGUUAAAAAAAUCUGAUUACCAACCAGAUUAUCCAUUAUAAUCUCAAUGCCCAAAGAUAACAAGUUAUUCACGGUCUGUCAUCCCAAUUGUUCUCAGCAAGUAAAUGAGAGAACAUGCCUUCAGAAAGACGCAUCUCAGUCUCUGUUGUGUGACCUAGGGCAGGCACCAGUCCACCUCCAAAUUGCUGUAAUGAUCAUGGGAGAUAAUGAAUGGGAAAUUGUCUUGUAACUUGAAAGGUAUAUUUUUAAAGUUAUUACCUUCACUAGAUGUUUGGGAACAGAUUAUUACUCAUAUUAGAAAAGCCCCAUAUGAUAAGCAAAGUGCUCCAUAGUCAAACUCGUCUACUUCAUUGGCCUCACUCUUCCACUCCACCCUCCCACCCCUACCUCACGUCCACUCCCGAUACUCCAUAUCCGCAUAUCACCCCAAAGCACUCAGUGCUUUCUUAUGCUUCUGUUCCUUUGUCUUGAUAAAGAUAUGAUGCUAAAGAGGCCAAAUACUACUCUUAAAGAAAGUUAAUAUUAAAACAUAGAGGAAACUUUUGAUCUCAUUUAUUUCCCAUUAUCUGACUUUAUCCCCUCUAGGCAGAAAAUCUUAAUAACCAAAUAUUUGCAUAAUGCCUUUCUUUUUAUGUCCUUGAUUUCAACCAAUUGCUUGAGAAUAUUUCCCCAUCUCUCCAAUAGUAUCAAACCCAGUGAACUGAUAUGUUAAUUUUAGGUAACUUGGGAUAUUCAGAGCACUUUGAUGUACAAUUAUAAAUCAUAAACUAGCAAAGAAGACAAGGCCUCUGGAGAAGGAAAUGUCAGAAACUUCUCCUCCUGCUUGUUUCAUUAGGAGAGUUGUGAUAGUAAUGGGAGGAGGCUAGAUUGAGAAAAUAAUCAUAUGGGGGUUCAGGGAAUAUUUGUGAAAGUUAGGUUUAGCAGCUCUGUCUAACUUCUUGGUCUGGUAGAUGUCGCAAGUUUAAUAAAAUUUCCCAGAUCUUUGAGCCAAAGUCUCUUUUAAGAUACCCCAGAAAAUCAAGAAGUCAUGACAAUUAAAGAGUCCUGUACCAGCACAUCCUGUCUUCACUGCCUGCAAAGCUCACCACUCUCUUCUCCAUCCACAAACUCCCAUACUCCUUUGAAGCAGCAGCUGAGCCGCCACAACCUCGAGCCUCUCUCCUGAUCACAGCAUCACAUAGACAAGGCUUCAGUGGAACCAUGACAAUUAGAAUAUUUAUUGAUUGCAGCACUUACAAAAUUUGAAAUAUUUGAAUAAAAAAUUUUCCAUAAA